UUCCUGGUGGCUUAGAUGGUAAAGAAUCUGCCUGCAAUGCAGGAGACCCAGGUUCGAUCCCUGGGUUGGGAA
rnacentral:tRNA from 1 species